UCACUUUGUAGACCAGGUUGGCCUCGAAC
rnacentral:piRNA from 1 species